GUCGAACGAUGAAGCCCAGCUUGCUGGGUGGAUUAGUGGCGAACGGGUGAGUAACACGUGAGUAACCUGCCCUUCACUCUGGGAUAACUCCGGGAAACCGGUGCUAAUACUGGAUAUGACUCCAACCUGCAUGGGUAUGGGGUGGAAAGAUUUAUCGGUGGAGGAUGGACUCGCGGCCUAUCAGCUUGUUGGUGGGGUAAUGGCCUACCAAGGCGACGACGGGUAGCCGGCCUGAGAGGGUGACCGGCCACACUGGGACUGAGACACGGCCCAGACUCCUACGGGAGGCAGCAGUGGGGAAUAUUGCACAAUGGGCGAAAGCCUGAUGCAGCGACGCCGCGUGAGGGAUGACGGCCUUCGGGUUGUAAACCUCUUUCAGCUCUGACGAAGCCUUCGGGUGACGGUAGGAGCAGAAGAAGCACCGGCUAACUACGUGCCAGCAGCCGCGGUAAUACGUAGGGUGCGAGCGUUGUCCGGAAUUAUUGGGCGUAAAGAGCUUGUAGGCGGUUUGUCGCGUCUGCUGUGAAAGCCCGGGGCUUAACCCCGGGUCUGCAGUGGGUACGGGCAGGCUAGAGUGUGGUAGGGGAGACUGGAAUUCCUGGUGUAGCGGUGGAAUGCGCAGAUAUCAGGAGGAACACCGAUGGCGAAGGCAGGUCUCUGGGCCACUACUGACGCUGAGAAGCGAAAGCGUGGGGAGCGAACAGGAUUAGAUACCCUGGUAGUCCACGCCGUAAACGUUGGGCGCUAGGUGUGGGUCCCAUUCCACGGGGUCCGUGCCGCAGCUAACGCAUUAAGCGCCCCGCCUGGGGAGUACGGCCGCCAAGGCUAAAACU
rnacentral:rRNA from 1 species